UACGGAGGAUCCAAGCGUUAUCCGGAAUCAUUGGGUUUAAAGGGUCCGUAGGCGGGACAAUAAGUCAGUGGUGAAAGUCUGCAGCUCAACUGUAGAAUUGCCAUUGAUACUGUUGUUCUUGAGUGUUUAUGAAGUGGUUAGAAUAUGUAGUGUAGCGGUGAAAUGCAUAGAUAUUACAUAGAAUACCAAUUGCGAAGGCAGAUCACUAAUAAAAUACUGACGCUGAUGGACGAAAGCGUAGGUAGCGAAC
rnacentral:rRNA from 1 species